CCUACGGGAGGCAGCAGUGAGGAAUAUUGGACAAUGGGCGCAAGCCUGAUCCAGCCAUGCCGCGUGCAGGAAGACGGUCCUAUGGAUUGUAAACUGCUUUUAUACAGGAAGAAACACUGGUUCGUGAACCAGCUUGACGGUACUGUAUGAAUAAGCACCGGCUAACUCCGUGCCAGCAGCCGCGGUAAUACGGAGGGUGCAAGCGUUAUCCGGAUUCACUGGGUUUAGAGGGUGCGUAGGCGGGCAGGUAAGUCAGUGGUGAAAUCCUAGAGCUCAACUCUAGAACUGCCAUUGAUACUAUCUGUCUUGAAUAUUGUGGAGGUAAGCGGAAUAUGUCAUGUAGCGGUGAAAUGCUUAGAUAUGACAUAGAACACCUAUUGCGAAGGCAGCUUACUACGCAUAUAUUGACGCUGAGGCACGAAAGCGUGGGGAUCAAACAGGAUUAGAUACCCUGGUAGUCCACGCCCUAAACGAUGGAUACUCGACAUACGCGAUACACUGUGUGUGUCUGAGCGAAAGCAUUAAGUAUCCCACCUGGGAAGUACGUCCGCAAGGAUGAAACUCAAAUGAAUUGACGG
rnacentral:rRNA from 1 species